rnacentral:lncRNA from 1 species
GGGGAAACAGAAGGGAAGCAGUGAGCAUUACUUACUUACUUAAUUAAUUAAUGGCAGGGCUGAGACUUGAAGCCGGGGCCCCUGAUCCCAUUCUGCCUGUCUUCCAGGUUGCACACCUGUUAUCUCCUGAGCACACCAGGAAGAUGGCCUGGGCUGAGAGUGCAGAUGGGAUUAGAGGGUGCAGGGACUUCCUUGCUGACCUGAGAGGAAAGUGAGGCGCAGAGGGAGAAUACAGGCAGGGAGGGGAGGCCUUGAUGCUACCUGAGAGGCAGCCUCUGGAGGUUCCUUGGGGGCGGUUCUGAGCCUGGUCCAAGGGUGUGGUGAGCCCAGUCAUGCUUCGGGCAAUGGCCGGUGCUGGGCGUCUGAGAAGAGGCUGUAGGAUGUCUGGCAAGUGGGUGGGUCAGACCAGAGGUCAGGGCCUGGUUCAGUGGGAUGAAGGGCUGGGGAGCAGGCAAAGUAAGUAGAAGGAAGAGGGUCAAAGGCCAACUUCCAGAUGUACUUGCUAGACCUACUUCUAAGUGGAGGGAAGCCAAAGCAGGAGAGGGGCUGAGAGGUGAGUGAGGGCACACCUCUGGCUUCAACAAAGAUUGGGUGGCCAAAAGUAAGAGUUGGCAACAUACUUCAGUGCCCAGGUUGGGGGUCUAGUCCUCCUCCAGGUUGGAAAAGUAGAAUGGAGGUGUCCUAAGAACUUUCUUCCCUAGUUGGGAUGGGGAGCAUGAAUACAGAGCACCAAGGAUGUGGAGAACAAGAGCUUGAGAGGGGCGGGGCUUGAGAUUCUUUUCUGUUGUUCUGGUGAGUCUGAUUCAUAUGGUUCACCCACCACAAGGAGACGAUGCUAACUGAUGUGACAAGUGAUUACAGCUUUGGUGGUCGAUAUGUGAUGGGUAGAUAUACAGAUGCAUGGGGGUAUGUAUGGAUAGACAGGCAGACGAUGGAUAGUCAUACACAUGGGUAAAUGAUGCGCAGGGUGAGUACUUGGGUAGAUGCCCAGAGAGGUGAUAGGGCAACAUGGGUUGCCACACACACAGCUGAAUGAAUGCAUGCACGGAAGCGAGGAUGGUUAGGAGGGAGGAAGGGGUUGGAUGAAUGGAUGGAUGGACCUAUGUAUGUAUGCAAUAUGUAUGUUUCUAGGUAUGUAUUCACAUAUGUGUAAGUGGAUAUGUGGAUAGGUAGAUAGAUGUAUAUGUGGAUUUUUUUUUUUUUGACACAAAGUCUCAUGUUGCCCAGGAUAGCUUCAAACUACUAUGUAGCCAAGGAUGACCUUGAAGUUAUAAUCUCUCUGCCUUUAUCACCAAGUGCUAGGAUUACAGGCAUUUAUCACCUUGUUUAUAAAACAUCUGGAUGCAUUGCUCAUUAGAGAAUGUAAGCAAAGGGCCUGAGUUGUCACUGGCAGCCACCCUGAUGAGUGGCAUACUGAGAAUGGAUCGCUACAUCUCUGCAGGAGGACAAUCCCAGACAGGGACAGCGUGGGUUGCCACUGCAAGGAACAAAUGAGAUGAGUCCCCACACUCAUUUUCUUUACUGGGGCCUGAGGCCAGUGUGUCUUCCUGGCUAGACUGAAGGUGGGUGGGUGGCAGGGUGUACCAUCUCAAAUUCUGCUGGGUUUCCAUGCUGUGAUAGCGGUCCAGCCCAUAUUCCCAGGAAAACUUGUCCAGGACAUGCAAGAGGGAAAUGGUUUUAGAUGUAAUCUGUAGGCCCAGAGGGAAAGGGGAAAGGUGGUCUAAAGAAUAGCUGGCCCAGAGAAAGUCCCCAUAGGACAGCUGGGUGGGGGGAUUGGGUAAGAUUGGGGGUGCCCCCCCCCCACAGGCAUCCUUAAGAGCCUUGGCAUGCUGGCCUGCUGAGCCAGCACAUUGCUUUGUGUGCAAAUCACCUCCUUCUCUUCUCUUUCUUCUGUCCCC